GAUGAACGCUAGCGGCAGGCCUAAUACAUGCAAGUCGAACGGAUAUAUGUUUUUCGGAAUAUAUAUUAGUGGCGCACGGGUGAGUAACACGUACAUAACUUGCCCUCAAGCGGGGGAUAGCCUUGGGAAACUGAGAGUAAUACCCCAUAGAAUUAUUGGACGGCAUCGUUUGAUAAUUAAAACUACGGUGUUUGGGGAUAGAUGUGCGUCUGAUUAGCUAGUUGGUGAGGUAACUGCUCACCAAGGCGACGAUCAGUAGGGGGCGUUGAGAGCGUGGCCCCCCACCACGGGUACGUGAGACACGGACCC
rnacentral:rRNA from 1 species